rnacentral:rRNA from 1 species
GUGUCAGCAGCCGCGGUAAUACGGAGGGUGCAAGCGUUAUCCGGAUUCACUGGGUUUAAAGGGUGCGUAGGUGGGUUGGUAAGUCAGUGGUGAAAUCUCCGAGCUUAACUUGGAAACUGCCAUUGAUACUAUCAGUCUUGAAUAUUGUGGAGGUCAGCGGAAUAUGUCAUGUAGCGGUGAAAUGCUUAGAUAUGACAUAGAACACCAAUUGCGAAGGCAGCUGACUACGCAAAUAUUGACACUGAUGCACGAAAGCGUGGGGAUCAAACAGGAUUAGAUACCCUGGUAGUCC